UCUGUAUGCACACUCCUUAAAUAAAUAGACAUUUAUAAAUAAAUACAUAAAUACAUAAAUAAACAAGCAUACAUGUCUAUUAUAUAGUAAACAUUCACCAAAAAUUAAUUCCCUUUUUUUAAAAUUAAAUUUGUUCUCAUCUGCCCCAGUUUGGAUUUCAUGUGCCCUUAUACUCACAGUAGCACAUGUGUGUACCUGCUACCCAUUGAUUCCAUUUAGUUGUUCCUAGGAUUCUAUGUGUGGAAUUUUAAGCUAUAGCCACACCCUUUAGCUUACUUCCUUGAAGCAUUAGAAACAGUCUGUUUUAUUAAGAUGGUUGUUUUAUUUUUUUUUUUAAUUUGAGUAAGAUCUGAGAAUUAAAAAUGACAGAUCUCACAAUACAGUUAGAUAUAUCAAGAACACAGAUACCUGGCAGGAAAUGAUGCUAUAUAGGUAGCCUGGGACCACAUCUUAAGGGUUAUGUAUGCCAUUUCAAAAAGCAGGCCCUUAUCCUGAAGUUAAUGGGCAGUCCUGGAAUAUUCACAAGCAAGGAAGAGAAAUGAUCAGACCUACCUUCUACAGCAAAACUUACAGGCCUACUCAGCUACUCUCCAAUACUUGGCUUCCCGUGUAGCAUGUUUGGAGGGAGAAAGUGCACGGAUCUUCUGAUGUGAGUGUUCUGGCCUGCUUUGCAAAUUAAACUGUCUUUGCAAAUAAUUUUUUUGCAGAUGAAUAAAUGGACUUCUGGUUUAUGCAUGUUA